GUAAUUUUCUUUUUUCGUUCUGAUUUCUUUCUGUCAGAGAAAUACUGCGCCCUAGGUGUGGAGGAGUGUGGCGGGAUGCAGUGGGGUGUCUGUCCUCAAAUCUCGGCUCUUCUGUGCUCCUAAAUCCCUUAGAUGUGAUCUGAUCAACAAUUGAGCUCCAACUGAUGUGUCUGCCCUUAGGUCCUAGGCUGAUCUUUCAGAUACAAUUUGAAGUUGAUGUUUUGAUUGGCAUCCACUUGAGCCGCAAGCACCGCCCCGCGCCCCCCCGCGCCCCCCUCGGCGCAGCACGUGGUGCGCAGCUUCAGCCCGGGCCACUUUCCUCCGUGCGUGAGUGCGUGUGCGCCUGUGUGUAUGUGUGUGUGUGCGUGUGUGUGUCCGCGCAGCUGCCGUGCCGUGUGUGUAUUUAAUGUUUAGCAAUGGGCUCCUUUCAGAAAAGCCCCCACUGCUGUAUGACAACCUGUCUACACGAUUUUACAGCUGUCCAACAUUGGGGUUUUGCUGUUUCGCAGCCUCAGUGUGUCCCCUUUUAACAAAAACAACUGUGUUUCUGUUUUCUUUCUUUCUUUCUUUCUUUCUAUUAUUUUUUUUCCACCACCUUUAACACUGAGUCCCCCUUGUCGUCGUCGUUGGACUCGGGAACAAAUGAGAGCGACCGUGAGAGGAAAAGGGGCUUUGCAGACGGGCGGCUUGGAACAAUUUACCACCAAAAAAGAAAUUAAAAAGAAAAAAGAAAAAAAGAAAGCAGUAAAGCAGAUAAAUAAAUAGAUAAAGGGUGACAGCCUCUAGCAACCUAUCAACGGCACAUACACCCCAUAAGUUUGCUGAAAGUCGAAAGGCUUCGAGCUCUACUUCACAGAAAUCUUUAGUUAUAAAGAAAAAAAAAAAAAAGGACCCGCAGCGAUGCCCCUCUAACCCUAACCCCACCUCCCCCCGCCGCUCCUCUCAUGUUCCGCCGACCGACCCACACUCGGGGACAACUAACAGAGACACUGAGACAGUCCCCGCUGUCUCGCUGAGAAAUAAACCCUCAAACCAACGGCGGCGACGUGGGCGCGGAAGGCUCAGAGCACCCCCAGCUCUCAGCCCCCGGGCGGGGGGGUCUGGAGGGCUCGGGGCCGUCCGAACUUCCAGAGCAAAGGAAGUGCUGGGCCGCGGGGGGAGGAUCCAGCAGGCUGCUGCCUUCGUCGUCAUUAGCGGCAGCGAUCAGCGGCGGGGAUGUGUUUUCCUUCUCUUCCCCCUAUCCCCGCAGAGCCGGGUGGAAGGUGCAGCGGCAGACAAAGGACCCCUCGAGGAGGGACCGAGGGGCUCGGCCGCCCUGAAGGAAACGAGUUGUCAUUGUGACUUGCCCCGUUGUUACGCCGGCUUCCUCGACGUGGCCGGGCUCGCCCCUACCGCGCCGGGGCCGGCGGCUCUGCCAAUUUUCCAACCCUGGAUAGAGAGCGCCGUCGCCCCGACCCUUUUAGUCCUAAAGGCGCUGCCCGGGGGAAGCCCGGCGGAAUAGAACGGAGGGGCGAGGGGUUGUUCUCCCCAGCCCGGGGGCUUAGCGCCCAGGGGGCCGCACAUCUCUUCCUCGAGGCACGGGGGAGGGGGGGGGGGGGGGGGGGCGGUAGCUGUAACACUGCCUGCUGGAAUCCUUUCCAUCCCUGAGAGUUAGCUCAACUUCUUUCCCCCAUCAGUUGGACGCAGCGAGAUUUCAUCUCCGUAUGUCCAACACUGAGAGGGGACCCCUUUCCCCCUGCACUCCCCUGGCUCCAAAAUCUCACCCUCAGAGCAGGAGAGCGACCCUCAGACAAAGCUGAGUGGUUCUUGGGAACUGUAGCGAGGUUUGGCGGCUGGCAGAGUCGCGUUACAAGGGCUGCAGGUAAAGGAAGGUGGGAGAAUGCACUGCCGCUGCCGAAAUCUUCUUAGCGCUUUAGAUCUGGGUGGAAUCCAGAGAAGGUUUCCACUCCGAGGCUUAAGAAAUGUGAGUCAUCCCCUCCCCCAUCCGCCCCCAUCCUGCUCAAAAGGAAAAGGAAAAAAAAAAAAAAAAAAAAAAAAGUAUCGCUUGCUUUUCUAUCAGCCCAAAAUCUUUUGGGGCGAACUCUGCUAUUCUUCACCUGGAAACAGAGCAAGACCAAUAGCUGGAGCUUAAUCAGAAAAGUGCGCAAAGAACUAAACUGUAUGGGAAACUGAAAACAACAUCAGCUGCUGCCGGAAGCAUGGGGAAAACCUUUCCCUAAAGCUAAACAGUCCAGAAGAUCCUAAGGAAAAGGAGCGCGGUUCCAACUCAUUAGCACCGAGGAGUCCCGUAGCGAAGGAGGAACUGGGAUCAGAGUGGGACACUGUCACCUUUCCGCUGGAGAGCGGGCGCCCGUCUGAAAACAAGCGGGAGAGAAAUAGAUAGCGGCGCUGGGUGUAAUGUGAUUACACCUGAGGUAAUCGCUUAAAAUAAAUUGUAUACUGUUUAAAGUAAAUCGACCUAAAUGGCCACGCUCGUAUAAUUCAGAGAUCAUCGGGUAGAUAAAGUUCUCCUUAAAGAGCCUUUCUCGAGAAGCGGUUAGCUAAGACAGUGGGCUCCUUCCAGUUUCUUAAGGCGAUGCAUUUGCUGCCAAGAGAUUUUCUUUUUAUUAUGAACAAAUCAGUUGAGAUAGGGGUCCGAUAAGAAAUGCAAAUCCAGACAUAGGGGUCGCUGCUUGGCCGAAUUUUAACCAAAGGCUGGUUCUGCAGGAACUGACUGAAGGCGAUGUCUGCAAAGGGGCUGCGGAGCUCGAACACUGACUCUACUAAAAAAAUGAAGUCAGUGAUUUUGAUCUGCUCCAGAUGUCCUAAGAGUGGAUAUUGCAGUGCUGGGAAUCCGCACCAAAUAUCUCAGGGCACUGAUGGUAAUCAGCACAACACAUCAGCCAGAGGGGACUGGCAAUUGUGAUAACCUGCUGCAAAUGUGCAGGGCUGGAGAUGGCAGUGAUAAACCGCUGAAAAUAUCUUCAAAUGGAGAUGACAGAGACGUUGAAAGGAGACACCUAACUACGGGGAGGAUAAGAUACUGAGCAGAGCACAAUUUGAGAAUGGAGCUGAGAUAUCUAUUAAGCUAGGCUUCAGCCGCGUUAUUUCCACGCAUUUUGCGCUGUAUCUGCAUAGGGAUACACGUGCGCACGGAGCUGCGAGCAAAAAGCGGCGCUCCUCAUAAAGAUCGACCCAAAAGAAAGGGAAGCUUAAGCGCUACAGCGCCUGGUUUAGGGCUGGGGAAGAAAAAAAGUUUUCCUUUAAUUCUUUGAAACAUCCUGGCAACGAGUUCUCCUGCAAAUCCUCUCUGGGUUUUGAGCUCGCACCGGUAGCAGACGAAGAGAUUUCAGAUGAUCACUUCGGUUAUUGGACAGUGUCAAUUUUCUUUCCCGUGGAAAGAACGCGCAGGAGGGAAUCUGCCAAAAAAAAAAAAAAAAAAAGAAAGAAAAAAAAAAAAAGAGAAAGAAAAUAGAUUAUCCGUGCGAUGCUCAUUUUGUCACUGUUCUUACCACGGGGUUUCUCUGCCCUUUUCCUUGCUCUCUUUUUAAUGUGUAAGUUUAAAACAACUGUACCAUGUUAAGUAUCAAUCCUAUUCAUUUUAAUGAUACGCCUGUGCAGGAGUGAAUCCAUUAAUUUAAUAUAUCUCGCCCAGAUUAUAAUUACUCCCCGACUGUCGACUAUUUGGAUCACUUGACUGAAUUUUCAUUAAGAAGAGCGCUCUAUCUGAUUCAGCGCGGGACCCGGCCGCAUUUGUCGGCUUUUGGGGUGCGGGCGGAGCCGCUCCCCCCUCACCGCCCUCCGGGGCCGCCCGCCGCCAGGCCCCGCUCCUCCGAGCGCCCGUCCCGAGCGCGGCUCAUCAGCGCUGAUUUAUGAGCCUUGUUAAACACUCAUUAUGACUUUGCACCUUUUUGCAGCAGGGUCUGGGAAACAACCCCACUUUGUGACAACAGGGCAUGUGUCAAACAAUUAUAGGCGGAGAGGCGAUGUGUCUCCGGAGCGCCGCGUUCCCCCUCCCUCCCCUUCACGCCCAAUCCGAGGGACACUGCUGUGAAAAGAGGGGAAAAAAAAAAAAAAAUAAAAUAAAAAAAAAAAGAAAAGAAGAGAAAAAAAUCUCGCUUGUUUGGUAAAUUUAACUCACAGCGACAGCAGCCUCCAGCCCUCUGACCGUACAAACGAAUGGUUUGGUUUGUCCAGACAAGCACAAAGUUGCAUACCUGGUGGAUUCCCUAAAAGCGAGCACGUAGGUAUGGGUAGUGCAGGGAGGGAUCGAAGUCCGAAACGUUUGACUGCACUCGGGGUAACAGCUGAUAAAGCGUUUACAAAGACGGUGUUAUUCAGACAAAGAGGGCAUUACAAAUAUUACGGUCAUUUCUCUCUCUAUCUAUAUAUUUUAGCAAACUAAGAAAAACUGUUCUUUUUUUCCCAGUAUCCCGGUAGUGUGUUCUGAUUAGUCCUUUAUCAGUUGCAACACGUAUUUAUUUCUGAUAGCAAGGGGAACGCGGAGCUCUUCCUUAGCGCUUUUGCAUAUGAAUUGUUUGAGCUCUGCACACGGGCCUGUAUAAACAAGCCGACAAACCUAUAGGAUGAAUCAUCCACCUCUCGCUAUCUGCCUGUCCGUCCGUCUGCCCACCUAUCAUGAAUAUUUUACGGAUCCGAACUUAAUUAACAGCACAAUUUCCAUUUUGUCUCCGAAAUGAUCAACUGCAAUUACGGGAGAUUUUUAAGGUUUGUAAUUUGAUGUCACCAGACUGUUGCUCGAGGGCAGAGGCACAAUUGCCCUGCCAGCUGCAGUUGUAUUUAUUUGUUUUUCUGUCUUGUUCCUGUAGGGCCGCAUUAUGCAGGUUUUAAUUAGUUUGUGUUUGUAUUUCGCCCGUCCCAAAUCAAUGCCAUCCUGGAGCAAUGCGAUGUAAAUUCCUGCGGUACAGGUGUAGCUGCUAGCUCUGGAACACUAGGAAACUCGUGUCUUACAAAUGAAAGCGGUGAAUGCCAUUCAGCCAAACUGUCAGCUUUAAACAGCCAAGAGGAAGGAGAUCAAAGCAGAGAGCAGGAACUUCUACUCUCCAGAUUAGUCUUUAUGGUCUGAACGCCUAAUGCUAUUAAAGGGAACCAGGACAUACAGCACAUCGUUGGCUACAAAGUUACUUCUAAUUUCGCUAAAGUCCUGCCUUCUUUUGGCCAGUGUAAGCCUUCAGAGCAUUUCAAGAUGCGCUGUUUCCUUUGAGGCCUAGUAGCUACUCAUCUGAAAUUAUGCAGAACUAAUACCUUCAGAGACACAUUUCUGUUUGUGCACAUAUUUAUAUAACUUAUCGCCUUUUGAAAGAUAAUUUUGAUUUCCUCCUAGGUUCCACAAAGUCUUUUAAUAGAACUCGCAGCAAUAAAACCUGAAAUUCUAGUAUCUCCAGACAUGAAAAGUCCC
ensembl:lncRNA